CAACCCUUAAGCCCCCGUUGCUUAGCGUUGGGAGCCUACGGCGACGUAGCUCCCCAAAGCCAGUGGCGGAGUCGGUCCCACGCUCCGGACGUAGUAGAUAACAAUCUCGUCCGCGGCCGGGCCGGCGCCCUGCCGUUAAACGCCCCAAUAUAUCAAA
rnacentral:misc_RNA from 1 species